rnacentral:rRNA from 1 species
GACGAACGCUGGCGGCGUGCCUAAUACAUGCAAGUCGAACGCAGUGGGGACGGGUGAGUAACACGUGGGUAACCUCCCAUCAGAGGGGAUAACACUUGGAAACAGGUGCUAAACCGAUCCUGAUGGAUGGACCCGCGGUGCAUUAGCUAGUUGGUGAGGUAACGGCUCACCAAGGCCACUAUGCAUAGCGGACCUGAGAGGGUGGUCGGCCACACUGGGACUGAGGCACGGCCCAGACACCUAGGGGAGGCAGAAGUAGGGAAUCUUCGACAAUGGGCGAAAGUCUGACCAAGCAAGGCCGCGUGAGUGAAGAAGGUUUUCGGAUCGUAAAACUCUGUUGUUAGAAAAGCGGUAUCUAACCAGAAAGCCACGGCUAACAACGUGCCAGCAGCCGCGGUAAUUC